UAGAACCUUACCUGGGUUUGACAUGGAUCGGGAGUGCUCAGAGAUGGGUGUGCCUCUUUUGGGGUCGGUUCACAGGUGGUGCAUGGCUGUCGUCAGCUCGUGUCGUGAGAUGUUGGGUUAAGUCCCGCAACGAGCGCAACCCUUGUUCACUGUUGCCAGCACGUUAUGGUGGGGACUCAGUGGAGACCGCCGGGGUCAACUCGGAGGAAGGUGGGGAUGACGUCAAGUCAUCAUGCCCCUUAUGUCCAGGGCUUCACGCAUGCUACAAUGGCUGGUACAGAGAGUGGCGAGCCUGUGAGGGUGAGCGAAUCUCGGAAAGCCGGUCUCAGUUCGGAUUGGGGUCUGCAACUCGACCUCAUGAAGUCGGAGUCGCUAGUAAUCGCAGAUCAGCAACGCUGCGGUGAAUACGUUGCCCGGGGCUUGUACACACCGCCCGUCAAGUCAUGAAAGUUGGUAACACCCGAAU
rnacentral:rRNA from 1 species